GGCAAAUGUGUUGCUCUGAUUGGUUGGUAAAUAAAACACUGAUUGGCCAGUAGUCAGGCAGGAGGAAUUGUGGGCAGGACAAGGAGGAGAAUAAAGCUGAGAAGUGGAAGGCUGAGUCAGAGAGACACUGCCAGCCGCCACAAUGACAAACAGCAUGUGAAGAUGCCGUUUCAUCUGUAGGAACCUCAAUGUGAAGGUAUUUGAAGAUGGCAGCCUUGGAGAGGUACCUGGUCCUAAGAGCAGAGCUUCAUGAUGAAAUCCAUGCAUUUAUAAGAAAAAUCAGCAGCUGACUCCUCUUUCUCCCUUCUACAUGUGAGGCUGUCAAGAAGGCAGCUACCUGCAGCUACCUACACCCUGGAUCCUCCCCAGGGUUGAAUCUCCCUAGCCCUCCAAUAUACAGCCUGUGCUUGCUCCUGUUACAGAAGUUGAAUCUGGAAAACUAUUGAGGUUCUCAGAACCCAUUUCCUCAACUCACAGCCUCAACUUCACCGGGAACUUGGCCCACAUGUGAAGAUUGGCCUUCGUUCCAGGCUGAGUCUGAGCCCCUUCAGGCUUUGAAGACCACAGUGUUAGGCUGCCCCUGGCAAGCUUUACUUUGGGAAAAUCUGGGUCUGGUUUCUGGAGGGCAAAUCCGCAGCUACUAGUGUGCUUACUCUGCCCCUGCUAUGAUGACCAAACAGAGCUGCUGCCCCACUCCCCUUUAAAGGUCUGACCACUGCUUUGAUUUCAUGUCCCUCCUUUCCAUAAACUCCCAUCACCUGAAGCCACCUGACUAUAUCUCUGUUAGUUAGUGCUGUCUAACAGCAUAGGAUGAAAUUACAAACACUUUUCCAUGAUCUUCACCAUUUGAGUAACUUAAUGCAAGACUAAAAUAGUGGCUCAAGAGCUUAGAACAGCUCUUCACUCCCAGCUGUUGACUCUUCCCUCAAGGGCCACUAGGUGUCGAUCUAUGCUCUGUUUAUGUGACUUUCCUACGUUGGUGGAGUUUGGCUUCCUGUGAAACCAGACAAGAUGUUCUAAAGAAGCUAGUUUUGAGAACUAGCUAAACUUGUUUUGCUUGGUUUUUGUUUUGUUUUGUUUUUUUCUUAGUUGUCCUAAGGGAACUCUGGAUCAAGCCCAGUUGUCUGUGAAUAGGGUUCCAGUAGCUAACUACUGCUCAAAGGACAUUUGACUCUUUGCAAUAAAGCUCAAUAGAAUCAGUUAAACUUA